rnacentral:rRNA from 1 species
GAUGAACGCUGGCGGCGUGCUUAACACAUGCAAGUCGAACGGUGAAGGCGGAGCUUGCUCUGCUGGAUCAGUGGCGAACGGGUGAGUAACACGUGAGCAAUCUGCCCCUGACUCUGGGAUAAGCGCUGGAAACGGCGUCUAAUACUGGAUACGAGCUGCGAAGGCAUCUUCAGCAGCUGGAAAGAAUUUCGGUCAGGGAUGAGCUCGCGGCCUAUCAGCUUGUUGGUGAGGUAAUGGCUCACCAAGGCGUCGACGGGUAGCCGGCCUGAGAGGGUGACCGGCCACACUGGGACUGAGACACGGCCCAGACUCCUACGGGAGGCGGCAGUGGGGAAUAUUGCACAAUGGGCGAAAGCCUGAUGCAGCAACGCCGCGUGAGGGACGACGGCCUUCGGGUUGUAAACCUCUUUUAGCAGGGAAGAAGCGAAAGUGACGGUACCUGCAGAAAAAGCGCCGGCUAACUACGUG